rnacentral:rRNA from 1 species
GACGAACGCUGGCGGCGUGCCUAAUACAUGCAAGUCGGGCGGACCGAACGAGGGCUUGCUCUUGUUUGGUCAGCGGCGGACGGGUGAGUAACACGUGGGCAACCUGCCCGCAAGACCGGGAUAACUCCGGGAAACCGGAGCUAAUACCGGAUAACACCGAAGACCGCAUGGUCUUCGGUUGAAAGGCGGCCUUUGGGCUGUCACUUGCGGAUGGGCCCGCGGCGCAUUAGCUAGUUGGUGAGGUAACGGCUCACCAAGGCGACGAUGCGUAGCCGGCCUGAGAGGGUGACCGGCCACACUGGGACUGAGACACGGCCCAGACUCCUACGGGAGGCAGCAGUAGGGAAUCUUCCGCAAAGGGCGAAAGCCUGACGGAGCGACGCCGCGUGAGCGAAGAAGGCCUUCGGGUCGUAAAGCUCUGUUGUGAGGGACGAAGGAGCGCCGUUCGAAGAGGGCGGCGCAGGGACGGUACCUCACGAGAAAGCCCCGGCGAACUACGU